CAGGAUGAACGCUGGCGGCGUGCUUAACACAUGCAAGUCGAACGGUGAAGCCAAGCUUGCUUGGUGGAUCAGUGGCGAACGGGUGAGUAACACGUGAGCAACCUGCCCUGGACUCUGGGAUAAGCGCUGGAAACGGCGUCUAAUACUGGAUAUGAGCUCCUUCCGCAUGGUGGGGGUUGGAAAGAUUUUUCGGUCUGGGAUGGGCUCGCGGCCUAUCAGCUUGUUGGUGAGGUAAUGGCUCACCAAGGCGUCGACGGGUAGCCGGCCUGAGAGGGUGACCGGCCACACUGGGACUGAGACACGGCCCAGACUCCUACGGGAGGCAGCAGUGGGGAAUAUUGCACAAUGGGCGGAAGCCUGAUGCAGCAACGCCGCGUGAGGGAUGACGGCCUUCGGGUUGUAAACCUCUUUUAGCAGGGAAGAAGCGAAAGUGACGGUACCUGCAGAAAAAGCGCCGGCUAACUACGUGCCAGCAGCCGCGGUAAUACGUAGGGCGCAAGCGUUAUCCGGAAUUAUUGGGCGUAAAGAGCUCGUAGGCGGUUUGUCGCGUCUGCUGUGAAAUCCCGAGGCUCAACCUCGGGCCUGCAGUGGGUACGGGCAGACUAGAGUGCGGUAGGGGAGAUUGGAAUUCCUGGUGUAGCGGUGGAAUGCGCAGAUAUCAGGAGGAACACCGAUGGCGAAGGCAGAUCUCUGGGCCGUAACUGACGCUGAGGAGCGAAAGGGUGGGGAGCAAACAGGCUUAGAUACCCUGGUAGUCCACCCCGUAAACGUUGGGAACUAGUUGUGGGGACCAUUCCACGGUUUCCGUGACGCAGCUAACGCAUUAAGUUCCCCGCCUGGGGAGUACGGCCGCAAGGCUAAAACUCAAAGGAAUUGACGGGGACCCGCACAAGCGGCGGAGCAUGCGGAUUAAUUCGAUGCAACGCGAAGAACCUUACCAAGGCUUGACAUAUACGAGAACGGGCCAGAAAUGGUCAACUCUUUGGACACUCGUAAACAGGUGGUGCAUGGUUGUCGUCAGCUCGUGUCGUGAGAUGUUGGGUUAAGUCCCGCAACGAGCGCAACCCUCGUUCUAUGUUGCCAGCACGUAAUGGUGGGAACUCAUGGGAUACUGCCGGGGUCAACUCGGAGGAAGGUGGGGAUGACGUCAAAUCAUCAUGCCCCUUAUGUCUUGGGCUUCACGCAUGCUACAAUGGCCGGUACAAAGGGCUGCAAUACCGUAAGGUGGAGCGAAUCCCAAAAAGCCGGUCCCAGUUCGGAUUGAGGUCUGCAACUCGACCUCAUGAAGUCGGAGUCGCUAGUAAUCGCAGAUCAGCAACGCUGCGGUGAAUACGUUCCCGGGUCUUGUACACACCGCCCCGUCAAGUCAUGAAAAGUCGGUAACACCUGGAAGCCGGUGGCCCAACCCUUGUGGAGGGAGCCGUCGAAGGUGGGAUCGGUAAUUAGGACUAGUCUAC
rnacentral:rRNA from 1 species